GUACACUCCUACGGGAGGCAGCAGUAGGGAAUCUUCCACAAUGGGUGCAAACCUGAUGGAGCAAUGCCGCGUGAGUGAAGAAGGUCUUCGGAUCGUAAAGCUCUGUUGUUAGAGAAGAACACGUGCUAGGUAACUACUAGCGCCUUGACGGUAUCUAACCAGAAAGUCACGGCUAACUACGUGCCAGCAGCCGCGGUAAUACGUAGGUGACAAGCGUUGUCCGGAUUUAUUGGGCGUAAAGGGAGCGCAGGCGGUCUGUUUAGUCUAAUGUGAAAGCCCACGGCUUAACCGUGGAACGGCAUUGGAAACUGACAGACUUGAAUGUAGAAGAGGAAAAUGGAAUUCCAAGUGUAGCGGUGGAAUGCGUAGAUAUUUGGAGGAACACCAGUGGCGAAGGCGAUUUUCUGGUCUAACAUUGACGCUGAGGCUCGAAAGCGUGGGGAGCGAACAGGAUUAGAUACCCCAGUAGUCCCAUG
rnacentral:rRNA from 1 species